CUGCCAUAUGCCACAGCUAGAUCCCUCUUAGAAAAUCAUUCAUCGCAAUGGCUGCAAACAGCAGCCCCUGGGUAGUGUAUGUGGCCUGUGGCCUGUACAGGCUGCCCUAAGGGACCCCAGAGACAGCC
rfam:Erinaceus europaeus unplaced genomic scaffold scaffold00691, whole genome shotgun sequence